rnacentral:rRNA from 1 species
GAUGAACGCUGGCGGCGUGCCUAAUACAUGCAAGUCGAGCGAACAGACGAGGAGCUUGCUCCUCUGACGUUAGCGGCGGACGGGUGAGUAACACGUGGAUAACCUACCUAUAAAACGGGGAUAACUUCGGGAAACCGGAGCUAAUACGGGAUAAUAUAUUGAACCGCAGGGUUCAAUAGUGAAAGACGGUUUUGCGGUCACUUAUAGAUGGAUCCGCGCCGCAUUAGCUAGUUGGUAAGGUAACGGCUUACCAAGGCAACGAUGCGUAGCCGACCUGAGAGGGUGAUCGGCCACACUGGAACUGAGACACGGUCCAGACUCCUACGGGAGGCAGCAGUAGGGAAUCUUCCGCAAUGGGCGAAAGCCUGACGGAGCAACGCCGCGUGAGUGAUGAAGGUCUUCGGAUCGUAAAACUCUGUUAUUAGGGAAGAACAAAUGUGUAAGUAACUAUGCACGUCUUGACGGUACCUAAUCAGAAAGCCACGGCUAACUACGUG